CCUACGGGAGGCAGCAGUGAGGAAUAUUGGUCAAUGGACGAGAGUCUGAACCAGCCAAGUAGCGUGAAGGAUGAAUGCCCUAUGGGUUGUAAACUUCUUUUAUAUGGGAAUAAAAUGUUCCACGUGUGGGAUUUUGUAUGUACCAUAUGAAUAAGGAUUGGCUAACUCCGUGCCAGCAGCCGCGGUAAUACGGAGGAUCCGAGCGUUAUCCGGAUUUAUUGGGUUUAAAGGGAGCGUAGGUGGUUUGUUAAGUCAGUUGUGAAAGUUUGCGGCUCAACCGUAAAAUUGCAGUUGAAACUGGCAGUCGUGAGUACAGUAGAGGUGGGCGGAAUUCGUGGUGUAGCGGUGAAAUGCUUAGAUAUCACGAAGAACUCCGAUUGCGAAGGCAGCUCACUGGACUGCAACUGACACUGAGGCUCGAAAGUGUGGGUAUCAAACAGGAUUAGAUACCCGUGUAGUC
rnacentral:rRNA from 1 species